rnacentral:rRNA from 1 species
AUGGGCGCAAGCCUGAUCCAGCCAUGCCGCGUGAGUGAAGAAGGCCUUCGGGUUGUAAAGCUCUUUUGUUGGGGAAGAAAUUGCGUCUUUUAAUAGAGGGCGUAGAUGACGGUACCCGAAGAAUAAGCACCGGCUAACUACGUGCCAGCAGCCGCGGUAAU